rnacentral:lncRNA from 1 species
UUUCCAUGAGUAGUCAGUUGUAGUAUUUCAGGAUUUUAUGAGAUAAUUUGUUUACUUUAAGUAGAAAUUUCUCAUGAUUUUAGAAACUUGGAUCUACAUCCAAUAUGCCUGUAUUUCUGGCCAGUGAAUAUACAUAUUUCUGACCAAUUAAUGUAUUAUAUAAUCACCAAGCUGCUACUGGGAUCUGGAUCUUUCCAGGUUAUUAUUAUUUUUUGAUCUAUGUUACAUCUACCAGAUAUUAUUUCUCCAAUUGCAGAAGCAGAAAUACCAGAGAAACCCCAAGUGCAGGCACAGUGUUAAUUUGAACAUGUUUUGUCAUUUAUUUCAUCAUCAAUGCGUUUCAUAAUGAGACUCAACAAUUGUUUGUGUUUGACAUCGCAGAUGAAAUUGAAAUUUGAAGUCUAGAAGGUUUCAAAUACUUUAAUUCACGUAUAAGGAUGCUGAAGCCCAGGAAAGUGAAGUCAACAUCUUUCAGCAUCCCAGGGAAUCUAAAGUGUCAUUUCCUCUCUGGAAGAAAGGAAGCACAAAACAUGCUGGGCUUGCAUAUUUGGAUUACUCCCAUUCCGUCUCAAGGUUGGAGCUUGGGGAUGGAGCUUCAGGGAUCCCAGGCUGAAUUCACC